UUUAAGAUGUCCUAAUGGCUAGCGAUGAACUCCUUGAACAGUUCGUCAGUCCCUCGGUUUCGAAUCUUCCACAGCGUUCUUUUAGCCAUCGCCGCCAAUUCAAGAUAUAAACAAAUGCCUAAUUGCCGAAACCGAGUUUUUGUUCGAAAGCUCAGUAAUGGAGUAAUGGAGUCCCCCGUGAUGCGGUUCAUAGGUCCCACCACUUCUCCUUGUUUCUCAUUCCAAGUUUGAACGCCUCGACUCUCAAGACUAAGGUCACUACUCAUUUAUCUUCCACUUAUUGCUUUUCAAAAUUCCGUAGAAAUCUCUGCAAAUUGCUUUUCCUGUCCCGUCGGUUCGUUCUGGAUGCGAUUCUCCAUUUAGAUUCUGAAACCUAACCAUGGAGGAAGAGGAUAGUAUUUACACGCAAGAUGGAACGGUGGACUACCGUGGAGAUCCUGCGAUUAGAAGCCAAACAGGAACCUGGAAGGCCUGUCCCUAUAUUUUGGGCAAUGAAUUUUGUGAGAGAUUGGCUUAC